rnacentral:rRNA from 1 species
UACGUAGGGUCCGAGCGUUGUCCGGAAUUACUGGGCGUAAAGAGCUCGUAGGUGGUUUGUCGCGUUGUUCGUGAAAACUCACAGCUCAACUGUGGGCGUGCGGGCGAUACGGGCAGACUAGAGUACUGCAGGGGAGACUGGAAUUCCUGGUGUAGCGGUGGAAUGCGCAGAUAUCAGGAGGAACACCGGUGGCGAAGGCGGGUCUCUGGGCAGUAACUGACGUGGAGGAGCGAAAAGCGUGGGGAGCGAACAGG